AGUGAACGCUGGCGGUAGGCCUAACACAUGCAAGUCGAACGGCAGCACAGGAGAGCUUGCUCUCUGGGUGGCGAGUGGCGGACGGGUGAGGAAUACAUCGGAAUCUACUCUGUCAUGGGGGAUAACGUAGGGAAACUUACGCUAAUACCGCAUACGACCUACGGGUGAAAGCAGGGGACCUUCGGGCCUUGCGCGAUUGAAUGAGCCGAUGUCGGAUUAGCUAGUUGGCGGGGUAAAGGCCCACCAAGGCGACGAUCCGUAGCUGGUCUGAGAGGAUGAUCAGCCACACUGGAACUGGGACACGGUCCAGACUCCUACGGGAGGCAGCAGUGGGGAAUAUUGGACAAUGGGCGCAAGCCUGAUCCAGCCAUACCGCGUGGGUGAAGAAGGCCUUCGGGUUGUAAAGCCCUUUUGUUGGGAAAGAAAUCCAGCUGGCUAAUACCCGGUUGGGAUGACGGUACCCAAAGAAUAAGCACCGGCUAACUUCGUGCCAGCCGCCGCAGUAAUAC
rnacentral:rRNA from 1 species